rnacentral:rRNA from 1 species
CACCGCGGUUAUACGAGCGGCUCAAGUUGAUUUACUACGGCGUAAAGUGUGAUUAGAGAAAAACCUAAACUAAAGCCAAACACCCCCUAUACUGUCAUACGCCAUGGGGAGCAUGAAGCCCAACAACGAAGGUGGCUUUAUAAAACUUGAACUCACGACAGCUAAGGUA